rnacentral:lncRNA from 1 species
ACUAAGCACGAGAAGCAGGACUUAUCCACGCCGGUGUUGUGUCGUAGAUUGCACCCCUGCCGAAUGCCCCCCCUGCUAGUAGUCAUGAUCCAAAUACUCGCGUCUUUGUAGAAUAUGAGCUCAUUUUCCUCCGCACCCUUCUCACCUUUUCAACCCCUGACCCAUUUUCAUACCUGAAGCGCUGUGUUUGAGAAAUACUUGCGGCCGGGCACAUAUCAUAUCGCGGGUCGAGAGUGGCUAGAAGCUGGUCGAAGCCAGGCUUUUCAACGGUAGUUAUUGGCAGUAUGUCCCUCGCUAUGGAGCAUGUUACUGCAUGGGUGAUGUCCUUAUGCCGCUUGGACGCUUUGUCGUAUUUUUGGCAAGAAACAAAGUCCAGUUUGGUCUGCUUCACUUGCUUUGUGCUGGUGCUGGCAGCGGUUCCAGAGGAUUCCUCCUCCGAUGACGUGGAGCCGCGGCGCGGCCGACACAGCUCGUACUCCUGCGGGUGCGACCGUUCGGUUUAGAUGGUAAAACAAGUUGAUUGUGUUACCAGACUUCGUUUUUACUAAUUCUCUGCAAAUUUUGCAAACGACCGCUGUUCGCUUUUUGUCAGACUUGUAAAAACCAAAACAUUGCCAUGCUGGUGAACUACCGAAACCUUUUUUCGGGGCAAUUUCCUCCGCUUCUCCUUGCUGUAACAUUUUUUCUAAUACACGUGCUGUCUGUUGUGGUUUGAUAGGGGCUGGGCUUGGUGCCGUAGCGUACAUGGGUCUGCGUUUGUGAUUGGUUGGGAGGAAGUAAUGGCUGUAGUAAAAGCUACAUGAUAGGCUAUGAUGAAAAAGAAAGGGAAACUGUGUUUUUCUAUCGAACUUUUUAUCGACCCGUUUUUUUUCUAUCGCACCACACGUCUAUCGAUCGAUAUAUAUUAUUAUCGAAUUAUCGUCCAGCACUAGUAUAAAGGUUGUGUUGGACAUGCAUAGGCGCCAUAUUUGAGUUGCACUGUGUAUCAUAUCUCAAGACAUGAUAGAGAGGAAAUCAAUUUGAUGAUUUUAAUUUUUUUAACAUCGUCAUAAUCACAUAACCCGAUUAUGAUUUAAAAAUGAAGAAGUGUGCAGCCCUAUCUCCAGUGGAAACUAUGAAAAUUCGUUGACGGAAGGACGAAUGACGAAUGAAAAGGGGAGUUUCUCCGGGUCCACUUCACGCUGAACCAAUCGUGCUGAAUAAGCACCAAGUAGCAAACAACUGUGGAGUAGCAGGCUGCAGCUACACACAAUGAUAGCACUUUAACAGCGCAAUGUCUUACAACAAAAUGUUGAAGAGACACAAAGACCUCACAGAUGUAGUAGCUUAUUGUAUUGCAAAAGACAUGCUACCAAUAAGCAGUGUUAAAUUUCAUUUUUUUAUAUUGUGAUAUCGAUAUUGACUGAUAUGAAAAAAUAUACUGUGAUAAACUUUUUCCCAUAUCACCUAGCCCUAACCCAGCUCUACACUAAAAAGAGGCGAUGAACACUCCCUGGUUUUAUUUAGUUUUUUCAUCCAGCUGCCCUCUCUGUGAUUACCCAUGUUUUAUGUGCAAUAACAACAAGCCAUUAUAAGGAAUAGGGCUGACAAAGCGCCUUCCAUGUUGCCAAAUAUGAGACAGAUUGAGCAGCUUUUCACAAGGGUCAAUCACUGAACACGGCACCCAUCUAUUUACAGCAAUUAGCACAAUUAAGAGUAGAGAACGGCUGGCAGGCGGCGGCGUUGGCAGAGGUCUCAGGAACGAUCUGAAGAAUAGAGCCUGUCGAGUAAGAACAGGCUGUUUGGGCACAUGUAUGACUUCCAUGUUAUUUUCUUUUCCAACUCUGAUAAUUGACUAAUCCUCAAUUCAACAAUUCUUCAAUUAGUCUGAAUAUAAGGAAAACCACAUUGUCUAUACAAUAAAGCAUGCCUGACCGUAAGUCACAAGUGUUGCUAUUGUUGUGCCUCUAACUCACUCUAAUUGGACUCCUAGGGUGAGUCUUUGACUACCUGUUUGCUUUAAUCUUAUUAUAAAAGGGAACUCCACCCUUUAUAGGUGCUUAAGCUAGAUCACUUUUCAGUGAAUGUACAUGUGCUAUUUUCCAAGUCACAAAGUGUUUUAAUGACCUUUAAAUCUUCAACUAUAAAUCUGUGUUGUGUAUUCUGUUUUAUUUAUAUGUUAAGCACUUAGCCAUCCAAAUAAAGCUGGCUUGCUUUAAUAGUCAGGAAAUGAGAAUACGCUUUUUACCUAUAGUUAAAUACCUGAUUCCGAUUGGUCAAGUCAAGGGAUGCAAACUCAAAGCAUUAUCAGUGAUAGGGUGACCAUAUUUUAGAUCCCCAAAAAAGGACACUACUAUGCAGGGCGGAGUCAUGGGGUUGCGCGUUGUAAAUUUUGAGAGUUUUUCAGGUUGGGUCAAGUGUUUUUUACACACUUCUAAAUCAGUCGAUGCAACACAAACUCAGUACUGCCAAACAAAACCCUUGAAGUUUGAAGGAUUUUAUAAAUCACCCUAAUCUGUGAUUGGUUAUUUCAUUGUUAGCAAAGGCAACACCCAAUGCAUUUUAUCCCUAUGUCAUUUAUUUUCCACAGCUAAUUUCUGGAUGUGUGUGAUGGUACUGCAAAGCUACAGAACAUAUGAAUUUAUGAAGGCAUAAAAAGAGUUCAACUCGCCAAUUAUCAACAUAGACUCUGGGCUCUAUUUUUUUCCUCGCUGGCAGCCUGGCGCAGGCGCGGCUUGGCGGACCUCGAAAAUACGAAACUGACUGUGCGUCAGGCUCCGCCAGACGAAAAUACCACUGUGCGGGUUGCGCAACCCUCCGCCGCGCUGCCGGCGGGCACGAAAAUAGAGCCCUCUGUGUGCAUUCAUAGUGGGGCUCCAACUACAGGUAAGGAGAAUUGCUGCAACAACUCAUCAGAAAAUAUACCCACUGUUUUUGUCACAGUGUCCAGUUUUCCACAUUUUUAUCCAAAUGGCCACAAAGUCAGGGGUUCAAUCAGAUCAAUCUCCUGUUGUGCAACAUUCUGGGCAUUCACCAGCAGUGCAAUGAUGGCUUCUAGCAGAGAGAAGCCAAGCAAAUUAAGCUAUCAAGCAUGAAACUAUCAACCAAGCUGGUUUGAAGUCUAAAGUUUGGACUUAUUCUAGCUUCUAUAAAAUUGGGGCUUUGAUGGGUCGGCAGAUGUUUGCAGAGAACGCAGAGGUGAAGUUAGACACAUUGGACACCAGCAUUCCAACCACAACAGCUGGUACAGAAGUCCUGGAAGAAGUCUCAGGCAUUGCUGUUGUCUUUGCUCAAACACAAAACUUUCAGAGGGCUAAAACUAUCUUGGCAUCCAUCUCCAGAUUUAUCUAUAGAAAUGUGACUCGAUAGUGUGGCUGAAAAUCCUACUUUCUGUGAAGUGAUCCAAACUCCAGAGCCAAAAUGCAACACAUCAAGCCACCCACACAUCCUCAGAAUAAUGCGAUCUUGUGCAGUAGAAAAAAGGGUCAAGAUAGAUUUUUUUUCCAAAGGUGAGUAAGUGGCCAUGACAACGGAUGUUUAACACAGGGUAUGUUUUUAUUAUCUCUCAUCAUAUUGACCCAGGAUGGAUUAUGAAUGUUUUACAUAUUUGUGGGGGAUCUAAAUAUUCCUGCAGAAGUUCUGUUCACCUUGUCAAAUGUUAUCUUCAACUUCUCAACUUAAUGUAACUUAUUGUGUUAAAUAAGCAGGUCAAUGUUUUAACUUGAAUUUGUAGUUUUAUGCAAAUUCAUCCUGCAAGAAUCAGUUGCCUUUCGUAGUGUCACUAUGGAGUUGGAGAGACUAAUCUUUUUUUUCAUUUUGAUGAAAGAUUUCUUAAAAUUAAUCAGAAGUGACAUCCAUCACUCUGCAGGGGUUGGGCUGUUGCUGAAACACUGUUCAAAAUAUUUCCUCUCAACUCUCAAGAACUGCAAGCUGCCAUUGUCAAACAAGAAAUAAAGAUGGAAGAGUGAGUUACAGACAAUGAAACAUUAAUAAUAACUGCAUAUCAGGCUGAAAAGAAAGACAACCAACCUGUUAUCUGUGUGUCCCUGGGGAUAUAUUAAUAUUAACACUUUGACAUAGAGCGACGUCAAUGAAUAUAUGUUAUCAAACUGAUCUUACAAUAUGUAAUCCAUAUACUAUAUAAUUUACAAUAUGCUAUCUACGCUUAUCUGCAAGCAUGUUAAUAAGUAAUGGGCAAUAUGCAGCAGCCUUUGGAAAUGUAACUGAGUAACUAUAAUGAAAUAUCAUUGUUUCUGUUUUCAUCUGGUUACAUUAUCUUUAACUCUCUUUGCUCUGCUUCCAAAUCGAUCAAGAUUAUUCUAUAUUUGGACAUCUUAUGCAAGAAAAGCUGUGACAUGGAGUACAAACCUACAGAGCCAACAAUAUCACAAGUCAAAGCCAUUUAACUGGAAGUCAAAUUAAAGCUGUUGCUAAAAAUAAUUAACCAAGAAGCACAGGUAGAGCAUGGAAACAUUGUAGAGGAACUUUCCAACUUUUUUGUGGUGUCAGCCAAGGUCAAGACAUGAGAAGUUUAACCACUUAAGAGGUGAUGUAAAGUGAUUUAAGUCUGUGCAGUGCAGUUAAGUGUUUGAUACUAUAAGGGUGACAUAAAUACACAGAAGAAACCUUUAUAGAAAUGUGUCAGUCACACAUGAUCCAAAAAUAUUAAGAUCAAGUCACUCAAAGUGAUGUUAAAAAGCGGCAGAAUUUGCUGAAAAAUAGUUGUUGUCACUGGUCAGUCCGUGAAACUGUUAAAGUCCUCCUGGACUCCGCAGAAGCAUCACUGAAGGGUUAACUUCACUGAAUCUUAGACCUAUUUGGAACUGCUUUACUGCAGGGACUAUAAAGUUGAAGUCACUUUGGAUUUGAUCCAGUAGAUUAAAUCAACCCUUGGCCAUGACGCUGGUAAAUGCGUUGAUCUGCGUACAGUAGGGCCAAUAAAAGUGCUUUUUUUGCUACUAUCAGGGUAGAGCUGUUACCUCAGGUGUCUGACAACAUUACAGAAAUGAUAUAUACAGAGACAGACCUUUGACUUUAAGGGAUAAUUAAGUAAGGGUCAAACACACCGUGACACCGAGUUAGAUACCCCCUCAAGAGAUGAAUGUUGCCGACCGCUUGCUUCUCUAGUUAUACCAACUUUUGUAACAACCACACAAUAGUAAUGCGGAAAGCCACGCACUCAACCAAAACGCCA